GGAGGAGAAUCGUCCCCGGUGGGGCGGCCGGACUUCAAAUCCGGUUGAGGCAGCGAGCCUGUCUCGGGUGGGUUCGACUCCCAUUCUCCUCCGCCA
rnacentral:tRNA from 1 species